GAGUUUGAUCCUGGCUCAGAUUGAACGCUGGCGGAAUGCUUUACACAUGCAAGUCGAACGGCAGCACGGGAGCUUGCUCCUGGUGGCGAGUGGCGAACGGGUGAGUAAUGCGUCGGAACGUACCGAGUAAUGGGGGAUAACGCACCGAAAGGUGUGCUAAUACCGCAUACGCCCUGAGGGGGAAAGUGGGGGAUUCGUAAGAACCUCACGUUAUUCGAGCGGCCGACGUCUGAUUAGCUAGUUGGUGAGGUAAAGGCUCACCAAGGCUUCGAUCAGUAGCUGGUCUGAGAGGAUGAUCAGCCACACUGGAACUGAGACACGGUCCAGACUCCUACGGGAGGCAGCAGUGGGGAAUUUUGGACAAUGGGCGAAAGCCUGAUCCAGCCAUUCCGCGUGAGUGAAGAAGGCCUUCGGGUUGUAAAGCUCUUUCGGCAGGAACGAAAUGGUCACGGUUAAUAACUGUGACUUCUGACGGUACCUGAAGAAGAAGCACCGGCUAACUACGUGCCAGCAGCCGCGGUAAUACGUAGGGUGCGAGCGUUAAUCGGAAUUACUGGGCGUAAAGCGUGCGCAGGCGGUUUUGUAAGUCAGAUGUGAAAGCCCCGGGCUUAACCUGGGAAUGGCGUUUGAAACUACAAGGCUAGAGUGUGUC
rnacentral:rRNA from 1 species